CGCAGAGUAGCUGUUGACAUUAUAGUUGCGGAGGCACUUUGUUGACUCUAGAGAACAUCGGGCCAAUCUCACAUCCCCGUGAUACGGAUGUCAUCCAUAUCAACUUUCGAUGCCAGUUUCUGCGCCUACCAUGGUGACCAUGUGUAACAGGGAAUCAGGGUUCCAUUCCGUACAGGGACCCUGAAAAAUGGCUACCACAUGCAAGGAAGGCAGCAGGCACGCAAAUGACCCACUCCCGGCGCGGGAAGGUAGUGACG